rnacentral:misc_RNA from 1 species
AAGUCGUAACAAGGUUUCCGUAGGUGAACCUGCGGAAGGAUCAAUCCUUAUAAAAUAUGAGUUAUUCAUAUAACUUGUAGAUGUUUUUAUUCUCAUGCCUACUCUUCAGCUUGUAUGAGAGUAAGUGUAGUUGAUGUCGAACAGUUUCGUUCGCUCGACUGAAAAACAACCAAAACACUUAGCCUUUUGAAAUGAAAAAGUUUUACACAACUAUUAGUGGUGGAUCACUUGGCUC